rnacentral:rRNA from 1 species
GCAGUCGAACGGCAGCACGGGUGCUUGCACCUGGUGGCGAGUGGCGAACGGGUGAGUAAUACAUCGGAACGUACCUUAUCGUGGGGGAUAACGCAGCGAAAGCUGUGCUAAUACCGCAUACGCCCUGAGGGGGAAAGCGGGGGAUCGAAAGACCUCGCGCGAUUAGAGCGGCCGAUGCCUGAUUAGCUUGUUGGUGGGGUAAAAGCCCACCAAGGCGACGAUCAGUAGCUGGUCUGAGAGGACGAUCAGCCACACUGGGACUGAGACACGGCCCAGACUCCUACGGGAGGCAGCAGUGGGGAAUUUUGGACAAUGGGGGAAACCCUGAUCCAGCAAUGCCGCGUGAGUGAAGAAGGCCUUCGGGUUGUAAAGCUCUUUUGUCAGGGAAGAAACACCGGCUCUAACACAGUCCGGGAAUGACGGUACCUGAAGAAUAAGCACCGGCUAACUACGUGCCAGCAGCCGCGGUAAUACGUAGGGUGCGAGCGUUAAUCGGAAUUACUGGGCGUAAAGCGUGCGCAGGCGGUUAUACAAGACAGGCGUGAAAUCCCCGGGCUUAACCUGGGAAUGGCGCCUGUGACUGUAUAGCUAGAGUGUGUCAGAGGGGGGUAGAAUUCCACGUGUAGCAGUGAAAUGCGUAGAUAUGUGGAGGAAUACCAAUGGCGAAGGCAGCCCCCUGGGAUAACACUGACGCUCACGCACGAAAGCGUGGGGAGCAAACAGGAUUAGAUACCCUGGUAGUCCACGCCCUAAACGAUGCUGACUAGUUGUUCGGGAUUUACAUCCUGAGUAACGUAGCUAACGCGUGAAGUCAGCCGCCUGGGGAGUACGGUCGCAAGAUUAAAACUCAAAGGAAUUGACGGGGACCCGCACAAGCGGUGGAUGAUGUGGAUUAAUUCGAUGCAACGCGAAAAACCUUUCCUACCCUUGACAUGUCACUAACGAAGUAGAGAUACAUUAGGUGCCCGUAAGGGAAAGUGAACACAGGUGCUGCAUGGCUGU